AUUUGUAGGCUUAAAUGUGAUCCUUUUACGAUCUAAUGAAAAGACUGUUUUCUUGAUGAAAAUGUUUUCUAAUUAUUAUUGUUUUUAUUAGUAUUGUGACAAGUCAUAUUAAAUUAAAUGUUUGACAGUUUAUGAUUUUAACGUUUUUUGAAAUGUGCAAUCGUCAACAGGAUUUUUAUUUGCAAAGAUUUUAGUUAAAGGUUUAUUACUCAAGACCAGCUACUGCAGCAUAAAAAUGUUCAGUUAACUGUGGAUCGUAAGCAGAAUCAGUUUUGUGUAUAGCUGAUGAUGAUGAUGAUUAUGGUGAAGAUGGUAAGGAUGGUGAGGAUGGUGAUGAAGAAAGAUGAAGUUUAAAGAUGAUCCCUUAAAAUAGAUUGGUGAAGUGAAUUUAUCUACUAAGACGAAACCAGAUAGAAGUAGAUGGAUGCUUAAGAUUUUAAGUUUCAAACUUUUCAAAAAGGAUAACUGAUCAUAAAAAUGUCAUUUACCAGCAAAGACAUUCCAAGUCAUCCUCUUUGCUGAGAGAUGAGCAAUCCUUAAGGAUGAGGAUGAUUAGGAUUACCUUCCCACUUUGCAGUUAUAUUUUUCAUUCCCUGAUUACCCGUCAAUGGAUAGACCUCAUGAUUAUAUUAAACACAAUAAACCACGAAAUUUUCAAUGCUAAUCUGGUCUUAGAUGCUGCUGUUUCAACUGUGAUUGGGUUAUCAAAAUAUUUGAACAUCAAGAUUGUCCAGAGAGCAUUUGUUGUAAUUGUAAUCGCCUCGGUUGUUUAAGUUUUAUUCAUAUUUGAUAAAAAACAAGAUUGGUUUUGGGAUUAGUCCAAAAAAAUCAUCUGUUAA